UUUAUUUCUUUAUUUAUUCAUUUAUAAUGAUAUGUAUGGUAAAAAAAGAAAGAGCAA
rnacentral:ribozyme from 12 species